GAUGAGUUUUCCCUUGAAACUGUAGAUGGUAUAUUUGUUGUCAUUAGGGGUUUCAUCCACGAGCAACACACGUUGAUAAUGGUUUUACUUCCAAGAUUUUCAAGAGUUUUUUAUUCGGCUUUCCUCAAAACUAGGAAAGUUGUGCUCUAGGUUACUUCAGAGAAGAAGCAGAAGUUGGUCCUUAUUCGGUCAAUGUUGUUAUGGAUAAUGUAUCUGCAGGUUUUGAAGAAAUCUCGGCCGGCGGUGAGGAAAAAUCCAUUCCUACUUUGUUGAUAUUGCCCGAAGAGGCCCCAGAAAAUUGCAAGACACCAUUCCUUGGAGAUGAAUCCAAGGUCUCAAAGGGGAUGAGUGGGAUAGAUGUUGCUUGUGGUAGGGGUGGAAAUAGGCAUAGUAGCAGUUUGCAUCAUAUUAAUGUGUAUCAGGUUACGCCAAUGUCCAUUGAGCUACAUAUAUAAAUCACAUGUCAGAAUAUAAUAUUUUUAUUUUUUAUUUUAAUUUGAAAGGAUGA